UGAAAUUAUUAAUUAAAAUAAUGCAAUAUUAGACAUGUAUAUUAUUCAUAAUCUUGAAUAGUAAUUUUUCUAAUAAAUAUAAAAAUGAUAACUUACUUGCACACUGUUGCAAGGAUUAUUAACGUCACAAUAAGAUUCGAGAGUGAUCAGGACUUGAUUAUCUAAAUCCUCAGCAUACUUAUAGCAAGGGCAACUAGUGCCAAGUAUGCUAUUAAAUGUGGGGCAACAUUCAUCAAUUGAAGUUGUGUUGAACAUGCAAGUCUUCACUUUUUCUUGGUCACUAGCCGGGCAACUCGGUUUUGGGGGUGGGCUCUGUAUUUAUAAAUGAAAGAAUCAUUUUACUAAUUUGAAGAAUAAUUUUAAUUAGAAUUUUAAAAAUGCAUAAUACAUAAAUAUGUCUUUUAACUUGGCUUCAAAUCACAUUUAUGCCCUUCAAUUUUCGGUGUGCACAAGUAGACACUUAAAUUUGUAUAAAGUGGAACAAAUAGACACACAUGUCCUACAUGACAUCCUACAUGUCAUUUUUUUUAUCCUACAUGGUGUCCUACGUAUAUUAUGCCAUGUAGGACUCAUGUGUCUACUUAUUCAACUUUACACAAGUUUAAGUGUUUACUUGUGCAUACUCAAAGUUGAAGGACAUAAACGUAAAAUGAGGUCAAAUUAAAGGGAACAUUUAUAUAUUAUGCCUUUUAAAAAAUAGAAAUAUUAAUUUUAUUAUUUCUUGAAUUCCAUCCUUACUAUUUAAAAAGAUAAUAAUUAUAUUAAAAUAAAUUUUUUAAUGAUAUAGAUAAAGAUGAAAACUUACCCUACAAGGGGUAACAACAUCACAAUAAGCUUCGAGAGUGAUCAAGACUUGAUUGUCCAAAUCCUCAGCAUACUUAUAACAAGGGCAACUAGUGCCAAGUAUGCUUUGGAAUGUCGGACAACAUUCAUCAAUUGAAGUUGUGUUGAACAUGCAUUUCUUCACCUUUGCUUUGUCACCUGGCGAACAAGUUGUUGCCGGGGCGGGAGGGGGAGGGGGAGGGCUUGGUGGUGGAGGUGGUGGUGAUCGUGGUGGUGGAGGUGGUGGACAUGGUCGUGGUUUUGGAGGAGGGCAUGGAUAUGGUCGUGGAAAGGGAAAUGGCCAUGGUAAAUAGCAUGGGAUUUCCCAUGGCCAUAAUUGUAACUUGUUCCCAUCCUCGACCACGUCCACGUCCACAACAACUUCUCUUGCCACGACCACUUGGUGGUGGCUGCAAAACAUAAUUGCAGCCACCACUAACAUCAUAAACAUCUUCAUAGUUGCCAUAUUGUGAGUGAUUUGUGUCAUAUAGUGAAGAUAGAUAUAACACAUCUAUAUAUACUAUCAAAUUAUUAAGAUUAAUUAACAUGUGGUAGGUAUGCUUUCAAUUUAAUAUAAAAAACAACCAUCAUUUAUUGGUCUUGUUUGAUAGUACUUCUUUUUGAAAUAAUACUUAUUAUUUUAUGCACCACAUUAAAGAUGUUGUAAUAUUAUAGUAUUUAUUUAUGCAACCACAUUAAAGUUGUUCUAUGAUACUUGUUCAGUUUAGAAAAUCGAGAAAUAAUUUAUCCUUUUAUGUCUAUUUUAAUUACCCUUCAAUAUCCAAUAUUCCCUCCAUUUAAAAAAGAAUGACAUCCUUUCCUUUUUAGUCUGUUUCAAAAAGAAUGAUCUCUUUCCUUUUUUGGUAACAUUUUAAUUUCAGUUUUCCACGAGGAAUGUUUAAAGCCACAAGGUUGAAGGGCAAUUUAGUACAUUUGACAUAACUUUAAUUUAGGACCACAAGAUUCAAAAGUCUUCUUUAUUUUCUAAAACUCCGUACUAAGUCAAAUCAGGUCACUCUUUUUGAAACGGAGGGAGUAUUCAAAAUAUUAAAUAUAAUAUAUUUAAACGGUAAUAUAAUAAUACUAAUUUUAUUAUUUAUUAUUUCUUUAAGAUGUGGGGCCAGAGAGAGUAUUAUAAUAGGAUGUGGAUCCCAAACAAUUAUGUCCCCUUAAUUUUUAAAUUUGAAAAAAAAAUCAAUUAACAUUGAUUAGUAAACUCUAUGAUUUGUAUUAUUGCAUAGUAGUACUAGUAGAGUUGUUGAAAUAAAUUAGUUGGAAUAGUAGGUAAACUCACAUUAAUAUCUAGAAAAAAUAAAUAACUUCUUCAAAUGACACAAUAAAUUUAUGUGGCUAGAGAGAAAAACAAUUAGAUAUUUUAUUUGGUUCAUAUUAUAUGAUGUCCUUAGUUUGGACGUAGCUCUUAAGAAAUACAUCUAUACCUAUAAAGUAAGAUGUAUUUCACUAAAUUACUCUUAAUUAAAUAGUUUGUUUGUUGAGUAAAAAAAAUCAUUUAUAUAAUAAUGAUAAAAAAAAUAUAUUAAUUAUUUUGGAUCAAAUAUAAAAGCUAAAAACAACAUAUAAAAUUUUGAGAGAGUAAUUAUUUAAAAUUAUGGAGUAUCUAUAGACUAUAUAUAAUACUCUCUUUCUUUUAAUUUAUUUGUCUUACUUUUUUAAUCCGUUUAAGAAAAAAUAUCUCUUUCAUUUUUUGAAAGAUUAUUAAUUUUAAUUCUCUCUAUAUGGUAUAUCUAAGACUAUAAUAUAAAAUUAAAUCCUUUUAUUUUUUAAAAUUUUAUGUCAAGGUAAAAUCAAAAGCGCGUAACUUUUUUGUCUUCCUUCUGUGAGUUGUCUUUUUAUGAAAAAAAUAAUAUAUGAGGUUGUGGCCAAUAAUAAAAUCGAGGAUGAUGUAAUGGUGAAACUGUUUCACUCUUGAUUAAAUGUAUCGGAUUCAAGCUUUAGGUAUAAUUUUUCUUUUACCAAGGAUACGGCCACGACAAAUGUUGAUAUAAAAAAUCAAAUGGGAUGAGCCUAGUGACUCACUUCCCUCAUCGACCAAGGCGACUUCUUUCGCCAUGGUCACUUGGUGGUGGCUGCAAAAUAAAAUUGCAACCACCACUAACAUCAUGAGCAUCUUCAUAAUUGCCAUUUUUCACUAACCAAGUGUUUGUACCAUGAAGAGAUAUUAACCAUCUAUAUAUACAAAAAUAAUUUUUUAGAGUUAGUUGAGAUAAUUCGAUGUCAUAUAGAUCCACUUGCAUAAAAUAUUAUUUCUUCAAAAAAUGACUAAUUAAGUCCAUUCCUAAUGGAUCAUGUCUGAUAUUUUUUCAAUAAAGUACAUACUAUUUUUAAAAUUAUUGCAUAUAUAUAUAUAAAAGAACUAUUAUCCACAACAAUUUCACUAUAAUAGUUACGUUUUUUAAGAGUUGAUUUUUCAUGUUAUUCAGUAUAAUAUAUUUUUUAUAUUAGAAACAUUUUGUUGUAACAAUUACAAAUUAUCCAGACAAACAAUGUUAGAACAAGUUGUGUUUUAAAAAAAACAUUUUCUUAAUUAAUUGAAUUUUACAAAUUUCAAUGAAGAAUAAAUUAGCCAAAGAAUUAGGUAAAUCUAACAAAAAAAGUAGUAGUAAAUGACACAUUAUUUUUACAAAAGUCAAAUAUUUAAAGUUAAUUUAAUCUAUAGUUACGGAUUAUAGCCAUGGAAUGAACAUGAAAAAUAAUGAAAUUUUAUGAAUGAAAACUUAAAAUACUUCUAAGUCUGUUUUUUAAACUUUAAUUAUUAUUUUCAAGUUAAAAUUUAAAUUAUAGAAUAAAUUAACAAUAACAAUAAUUUUGCCUUAACCCCAAAUAAAUUAGGACCGAUAUCUAAAUCUAAUUUUUCUUUUAAAUUUAUUUUAUAUCGAUCAUCAUUUUACAUAAUAAAAGUUUAAUAGAUAUAUAAAAAAAAAUAACCAUAACUCUGAUAAUCAAUACUAAAAUUUCUAUAACAAUAUAUUUUCAACUAGUAGAUAUUUUUAUAUAUAUGAAUUUUUUUUCAUUGUAUCUUUCAUUAAGUUUGCAUCAAUAUAAAAACAAAUUAUAGAUAUUGAAAUAAAAUAUCCUUUCAUACAAUUUUACAUUUAGAAGUGUAAUCUCUUUCGUAUCCCGUUUCGAUUGCUAACCGACUUACUUAAUAGGUCAGGCUGAAAAAAAGGCCAAAUUCUUUACGAAAAUGAAUUUAAGCAAAAAACAUUUUUCUAAUUAUCAAAAUUUUAGACUUACAAAUUAACACAAUUUUAAAUCGAUAUAACAAAUAUAAACGAUUUUCUCGUAUUUCAAAAAAUUCUUUAUAAUAUAUAAAAGGUUUGGUUGGUAGGUGGGGGAAGAAGCAAUAUGGUAGUAGGUGGUGAAAAUGAAUAAUUGGUAUUUCACGUGAUAAUAAUUUAAAUUUGUUGAGAAAAAAGGACAAUAAUGCAUGUUAUUCCACAUUUCCAAUAGGUACAAUAAAUAUUAGGGAAAAAGUUCAAAAAUGCCUUUAAACUAUGUGAAAAGAAAAAAAAUAUUCCCAUUUAUAGUUUGGCUCAAAAAUGUCCUUACUGUUAGUACUUUGGUUCAAAAAUGCCCUUAAACUAUGCGAAAGGAACAAAAAUGUCAUCCAUUUGUAGUUUGGUCCAAAAAUGCCCCUGCCGUCAAUAAUUUGGUCCAAAAAUGCGCUUAUUGUUAUUUAAUGGGUCAAAAAUGAUCAUAUUUCAAAUAAAUAUAUUAUUAUUUUUAACACAUUCUUUUUCUAAUAAUUUUUUUAAAAUUAGCAAAUGUUUAUCUUACUUCAAUUAAAAAAAGAAGAAGAUAUUUCUUAUUUUAUUAUCAUUAUUUAAAUUACUCUUAAUUAAAUAGUUUGUCUGUUGAGUUAAAAAAUCAUUUACAUAAUAAUGGUAAAAUAAAAUAUAUUAAUUAUUUUGGAUCAAAUAUAAAAGCUAAAAACAACAUAUAAUAAAAUUUUGAGAGAGUAAUUAUUUAAAAUUAUGGAGUAUCUAUAGACUAUAUAUAAUACUCUCUUUCUUUUAAUUUAUUUGUCUUACUUUUUUAACCCGUUUAAGAAAAAAUAUUUCUUUCAUCUUUUGUCAAAUUAUUAAUUUUAAUUCUCUCUAUAUGGUAUAUCUAAGACUAUAAUAUAACAUUAAAUCUUCUAUUAUUUUUUAAAAUUUUAUGUCAAGGUAAAAUGAGAGAGAGUAAUUUUUUUUUUUUGAGGUACAUUAUGGUAGGUGUGGCUUUAAUAGGAGUAGUUGAUGAUUAAUUUAGCAUCAUGAUAAACGUGCUUUGAAAAACAAUAGUAAUAAUUAUUGAUUUCUUUUUUUAAAAAUUUUUUUACUCGGUGUUUUAUAUAUACAUAAAAGUUUGAUUAUUUCAAAUUCGUGUCACGUAGGAUUCCAUUUGAAGAAAAAUAUUUCCUAUUAGUUUUUUUUUUCAUAACCAAGACUAGAACCCAAGAAAUUAUUAAUAUAUAGAAUAUUUCUACUAUAUAGAAAAGCGAAGUGAUGGACGACCACCGGUAAUAUCAUAAAUUUGUUCAUUUUCAAUGGUAAAUUGUUUUAGCAAACCAAGAUAUUUUGUACUUCUUUUUACUACGUGGCAUGCUCAGAUCCACAAGUUAAAAAAUCAAUGUUCUUAUUCUUAAUAAGAUAGGGCAAUUUUGCUUAUCUUCCGUAAUAAAAUCCAAAAUUCAAAUAAUAAAUAGUUGGUUCGAAAGGAUGAUCAGUCACAUUACCAAAUUAAUUAAGACACAAUCGAAAAUCCGAGAAAAAAACAAUAUUAAGCACUUAAUGAAAAAUGCUUCUUCUUACGUUAUUUAUAUGAUGUAGUUUGACUGAUUACAACAUUUAAGAAAAAAACGAUUUCUAAAUUUUAAUUUUUGUGCCUAAAAGUCGAUAACACUCAGAAAUUUAGUCGUUAAAAAAGAUAGAUAGACGACUUGCCUACUUAAAAAAAAGAAUCAACAUAGACGCGACAAUAUAAUAAAAAUUAUUAGCUAAAUCUAUUUAAUGAAAAAUUAACAUUAAAUCAUUGAAAAAUUUUAUUAGCUACGAUUUAUUUAGUGACGAAUUCCAUAACCAAUUCCUAUUUUUUUUUUUUUUAAGGUGACCAAGAGAAAAGAAAUUUUUAUAACAACUUAUCUUUACUUUUUAUAAUAUGUAAUUUAUUUUAUUUUUAUAAUUACAAAUCAUAUAUUUUAAUGUUACUUAAAGUAUCUUCCUUAUAUAUAGAAAUUUAUUGUAUAUUUUGUUAUUUUCCCUACAACAUUAAUUUGAUAAUGACAUGGCCGCAAAAAACUAAUUUUAAUUUAUUGAAUAUUAUAAAUGCAUUUUAACUUUUUAUAUCCAAGUUUUCUUUUCUAGAAUGGGACCAUUUGAGUCAUUUUCAAGUCAAUUUCUUUGUCUAGUUUAGGUAAAUUUAAUUGUAGAAUAAUUAUAUAGUAUGUAAAAAGUUUUUACUUAGACUAGCUAAAGACAACAUUCUUGUAUAAUUGUUGUUACAACCGUCUAUAAUUUGUUAAUUUUAGUCCUAAAUAUAUACUAUUGUCACUGUCAUAGUAGAGUGUAAGACAAUUUUGAAUUGGAUGUAACUUAGUACUAUAUUUUAACUUAUCUUAUUUUUCAUGUUAUUAAUCUCACUUAUUAUUAACAAUUUUGUGUAAUUAUCUUUAUUUGGAUUGAACAUGAGGGUCUUAAUUGGAUUCUUAAUUAUUUGUUGGUCAUUGCAAUUUCAAGUACUUCAUCUAAAUUGUAUCUAUUAUUUUUUCUUAUUUCUUUUUACCCUUUUUGAAAUCAUAGAUUGGGGAGAGGAAGGGGGAAUCAGAGGGGAGAGUCAGAAGCGAAACUAGAAUUUCUAAAAUAUGGGUGCAUUACAAAAAAAAAUGUAUUUAGUGGGAAUAGAUCGUUGCUUUUUUGGAUAAAUAACUUAGCGUUCAAUCAUGUGCAUUAUUCAACCCUUCUGAAGUAUGAAUGUCAAUUGAUAAUAUUAACCCAAUUUUAGCAACUAUGUACAAGUUUAGCAGAUAUAUAUAGACCAUAGGUUCACGUGCACCAUAAUUUCUAUACUAAAUUUAUCCGUGGAUUACAAGGUGGGAAUCAAACCCCCACCUAGAAGAUGUUCAAGAGUAACCGACUAACCGAACAACUAAAAUUCUUCUUUUUUUUUUAGCUUGAGUUUGUGUAUUUGUAAUGACCUGGAACCGUAAGGUCAUUUUUGAUAAUUUUGAAUAGUCAUUUAUCUAUAAUUAAUUAAUUUUCGGGUAGUUUAUUUAUAAUUAAAAAUAAUGGACCAAGUCUGAAUUGUUAAAAUAGGUUACUAGGAAUUAUUACUUUUAAUAUAUAAUUAAUUUUGAAAAAAAAAAGAAAGAGGCGGAAGAAAAACUAACCUAGACGUGCGAUAGGAAGCAGGAAAAUUUGAGUGGUUCAGGUUAGUUCUAAUCAAGAUUCUUUGUAAAAUUGUAUAUAAAUAUAUAUAUAUCUUAGGGUGAUAUUAUUGUUAAGGGAUAUGGUUGGAAAUUGUUUGUUUUUAAAAGAAAAGAAACAAAAUAUUGUCAGUACGUUGUUUGGGUUGAACAGAAGGGAAAUUUGAAUUGAAAAUAAGGUGGGUGUAAUUGUUAUUAAUGAAAUUAUGUACUCAUUGUCAUGAAUGGAUAAGUUGUUGAGUUUGUCGGGUGUUUUUCAUGGUUUUGCCAUGCAUUUGCGUGACCAGUAGAUUUCAUAGUUAGUUGUUCCUAUUUUAAAUAUUAUAUUAUAAAUUAAAUAUUAAAUAUAUUGAGAUAGGUAAUUAAAUAUUGGGUUACCGAAUUAUAUGAAUAUCAUUAGACUUAUGAUAUUGGAGAAGUUGAAGCUUAACCCUAGGCUUGAAACUUAGAAACUUGAUUAUGAAUUUGGGUGAAUUGUUGGUUCAAGGCUAAACACAUAGUAAUGUGGGUGUUGUUCAUUUCAAAAUCUUAUUGUUGUAAUUUGUUUGGAUAGAUUGUAUUGAUUUGGAGCCCAAUGAAAGAGGGAGACUCAAGUCCCGGAGUGAUUGUUCGACUAUUUGAGGCAAGUGGAUUUCUAAACCCUUAUUAAGUGUAUGGAAUUCGUUGUAUUUCCUUGUAAUAUGUGUUUGAAGGUAAUGAGAGUUGGUGAUGGGUUGACUUGUCCACAUUGAUUAAUUCUCAUGAUGAAAAAGAGGUAAUAAAAGGCAAUGUGAUUAAUUGUUUGUGUGUGAUGUGUUGAGAAUGAUUUGAAAGGCUUGUUGAAUCAUUGUUGAUAUUGUAUCGUGAUUGUGUUGUUGUGAAUUGUGCAAUGUUAUGAAAAUGGUCAUCUCCUCAUUAUUUAUGUGAACAUGUCAUUUACAUUGUUCUGAGACAUGGUUGUGACAAGUGUUAUGUUAAUUGAGAAAGAAUAAUAAAUUAAAGAGGAUGUACUAUUUCGAGGGACGUAUCGCACGCCGCGAUGGAUACUAUAUUUCGAGGGACGUAUCACGCGCUGCGAUGGUUACUAUUAUCGAGGGUCGUAUCGCGCGCCGCAAUGGAUGCAUGGAUAGAUAUGUCCCCCAUGGGUCCUGGACUAAGAGACAGCGGGUGUGUAUCACUAGGUCAGACAUGCAUCACUAUACUUGACAUUGCAUUACACUGCAUUGCACAUAUUUAUCAUUAGUGAACUUGAUAUUGUGUUUUGCUGAUCUUGUGAGUGCCUUUCUGUAGAACUUUGAUUGAUAAUUAUUGAGCUUGUUCUUGAGAAUAUGUAAUUGUUAGAGUGUUGUUGUCGAGUUGUGUGCUAUGUGAAUUAUAAACUGUUAGGUUGGGCUGGUUUUAAGCAGGUUGUAGUUGUGGAGGUUGUAAUUGAUGAAUAUUGAGCUUGUUGUUGUGAAUAUGUGAUUGUUAGAAUGUUGUUGUUGAGAUACGUUCUUGUAAAUUGUGAACUGUUAGAUUGGGCUGGUCUUAUAUAGGUUGUAGUUGUUGAGGUUCGAUUGGUGUGUACGGAGUACCUGUAUUCUAUCCCCUUAGCUUGUGUUUAGAGGUUUACUUGUUGAGUACCGUGUGGUUGGGUACUCACCCCUUGCUUCUACAAUUUUUGUAGGCUACGAGCCUAGAUUUUGUGCUACUUGUCAUUCUCUUCUUUUCCGAGGCUUCUUGGAGAUUUGUGAGGUAUCUGUUUAUCAUCUCAGCGGACCUUCUUACUCCUAUUUAUGAUCUUGUUCUAUUAUAUAAACAAGGUCAUUUGAGACUGGUGUUUUUCUUUUGAAUCAAUUGCAAUGUUUUAGAGGCUUGUACACAUGACAACUAGAUUUUGUGGGUAUUUUUGAGUUGAUUAUAAAAUUUCCGCAUUUUAUUGUAAUGGUUGAGUUUUAGGCUGACUUGUCUUGGUGGGAUAAGACAAGUGCCAUCACGUCCAUUUUUGGGUCGUGACAAUAUUAUUUUUGGAAUUAAAUUUAUACACAUGAACACCUUACACUUUCCUUCUUUUCUUACAUCAUAUAUACACGUAUUUCUUAUAUAUUAUCUGUGCACAUAACUUAUUAACCUCGUAUAUAUUGUUUUUGUUGUGUUUACACAGGCGCGACAACUUCAUCACACAUAGAUGCAAGAAAUAUCCUUUCACCAAACUCCUUGAUGAACACCCUUGACAUGAACAACAACCAAUAUUUAUAUGGAAGUAGUAGCAACAUAAACUUAGGCACCUUCUCCAAAUUGGGCAAUAACAACAACAACAUCACAAAGACUACUACUACUACUACUACAAGUGGUGUUCAAUUUGAUCAUCAUCAUGACAACAACCUCAUUGGAUCAAGUACUACUACUACUAACAAUCCCUUUUUCCUUCAAGAAACAAAUCAAGAAUACAAUCCUAACAACAAUAUCAAACCAUUAAUGGUCCAUGGCCAAAUGCAACUUCCUAAUCUUGAUCAAAACAAUGAUAACAACAACAGUAGUAGUACUAUGUUUAACCUCAACUUUUUUCAAAACAAUUUGUCUACCAAUAGUGGAAUUUUGGGUGAUCAUCAUCAUGAUAACAAUAAUAUAAGUAAUUCAAUUCCAUCACUUUAUGGGAUGGGUACAAGUACUUGAGAGUUGUAAUCUGGACCAAUAAUGUCAGCCACAUCAUUACUACAAAAGGCAGCACAAAUGGGAUCUUCUAGUACAAGUAAUAUUAGUGCAACUGCCUUAUUGUUCAAAGCCUUUGGAAGUACUAGUGGUUCAUCAUCUAGUGGCACAAAAUUUGAUCAUCAAGCUUUCAGCUUUGGUAGUUACAUUACAAGUAUGGUUGGUUUAAGUUUAAAUACAUACCUGGGCACUUUCCUCAGAAUUCUUAAGGCAUUCUAGCUUUCCAAUUACGUUGUUUGAUUAAUGAGAAAUUCAAAACUAAUCAAAGGCCCAAGUCACUCGUAAACACCUUGGGACCAGUAAUAAUCAUCCAACCAGUUGAAAAUAACCUUUCGAACCUAACGAAAGUAUUAGAACACAAACUGACCUCGUUUAUCCAAAAUGUUGACUUUGGUCAAACUUUUCAAAUUUUAAAACUGAAAAUCUCAACCAAUGAUGAUUUAAUCAUCUCGAAAUUUGUGUUACUCAUUUUUGCAAGUCAUAACCAACACAAUAAAGUUAUAAAAAUGUUCUAAUUGAAAAAAUUGAGUUUAAAGGAACAAAACAACCAUACAGAUCAUUACACUAUCUAAGGAUUAGGUACCGAGAUUGCAGUGUCCACGUACAUAUUCGAACAUGAAUAAUACUUUAUCACUACAUUGCCUUAUUGUAUUAUAUUGAAAUCCUAGUCAUUUAAUUUCUUUCAAAACGGGUGUGUUCAUUUUACUAUGUUUAAUUUUUUUUACGUUAGAGGGAAAUAGUUAAUUAAAAAUUCAUAUAAACACUCCACACUUUUGUAAACUAUUAGAACACGAAACUGACCACAUUAAUUUGAAAUGUUGACUUUGGUCAAACUUUUCAAAUUUUCAAUAAUGGAAAUUUCAACCAAUUAUGAUUCGAUCACCUCAAAAAUCGUGUCACUCAUUUACGCAAGUCAUAAACAACACAAUGAAGCUAUGAAAAAUUUUAAAAUUGAAAAAAUGAGUUUAAAGAAACAAAACGAUCAUAUGGAUUAUUACACUAUCAAAGAUAAUUUAAUAUUGAGCUACGAAUGUUUUUCGUAGCAAAUAGUUAAAUUAUUUAGCUACAAAAUUUAAAUCGUCACUAUUUAAACAUUGCAAAUUUUGUGACAAAACUAUAUUGUCACUGAUUCGUAGGUUAAUCAGAGACAACAAAAUAAUCGUCACUAAUUGCUUAUAUUAUUAGUGACAUAAACUUGGGUCGCAAUUUAAUAUAAAAUUUUGUAGCAAAAGCUUACAAUAUUUAACUACGAACUCUGAUUUGUCACAAUUACAAUAAUUUAUUUUUUGUGACAAAACUUUUUCGUGACCAAAAUUAUAACUUUUUUAAGGCAAAUAAUAGUCUGUCACAAAAUGAAUAAAUUAUUAGUGAUAAAAUAUUGUGCCACUGAUAAUUUAAAAUUUGUCACUAACGGUACUUAAUAUAUGGCGCCAAAUUAUUUUUUGGCGGGAAACUUUAGUGGACAAUAUUUUAGUAUGAAACUAUAUGUUUCGUCACUAAAAAUAUGUUGCUUAUGCAUUUAAAUACAAAAUGUAAUUUUUGUCACAAAAAAUGAAUAAUUAGUGUCGAAAUUUUGUCGUACCUAAAAAUUCCGUAGCUAAAUAUCACAUUUGUUGUAGUGACUCUUUUACUCUUAGUUGGGAGAUUCUCUAAUCGACAACCACCACUAUGAGCUAUGUGAUGAUACGUCUCCCCACGCUGCCAAAACUGUCAAAUACCUUGUCGAAGUACAAGACAUCCUCAAUUAAGUGGAUCCACUAAGCUAUGCUUAAAAUCAAUAAGGAAUCAUCUAAAAAGAAUGACCAUUUUUACCCACGUUGGCAUACAUGGUUUAUGAGGACUUUAAGUUGUCUGAACUCAUCCCCAUAUCGGUGCUCAAUACUACUCUCAAUAAUAUAACUCAUGCUCAUAUGUUUAAAAAUAUUUCCUCAUCCUCAAACUUUGAGAUUAUUACUUAAAAGGUUCUCUUAAAAGAGAUUAGUGCUCAAAACUCCUCAUGAAUUCAUUUGGAAAUCAAGGUUUCCUUCUCAUUUUAAAUGUAAAACAUUUACUCUUAGGAAUACUUAGUUCCCAUAUAUUCAUUUUGAAAAACUCAACUCUCCUCAUCCUCAUACUCAAGUGAUCAAGUCUUAAAACAAAUAUUAAAAGUUUGAAAACGACUUCUUAAAAUGACUCAAAAGAACUCCGUCGAACUUUACUCUUAACUCUAUCUUGAAUUUGAAAUGUGAAUUCAAGAAUUAUGAUUUGGUUAUAUAGGAUUUCUCAUUGAUUAGAUGUAGUUUGGAUAGUUAAAAGCAAGAAGAGAGCGAAAAAUGUUUUAAAAGAACUCAGACAAAACUAACGACAAAAAAUGGACGGGGGCAGGCGACCUUGGUGCAUUCCGGGCGCAGGGCACCAACCCCACCUUGACUGUAGCCCAUUUGGGGCACACUGCAGGCGUGGUGCUCCAGUCGCCCUGGCGCAUCACACUACCCUCCCCCAGAAUAAUCUAAUGAAUUUUUCUUCUCAAUUUUUGGCCCUAAUUCACCUAGAAUCAAUUGAUUUCUUCCAAUCUCUCUUUGAUUCGUAUACCCAACAUAAGUAAAUGAAAACUUACUCAAAAUCUUCUAAACAAUAACCCUCAUACUCAAACCCUCGCCUCAAGAACUCAUCAAACUCUAACAAUAAAGAUUGAAGAACGAAACUUUCAAGAAAACUCAUCAAGAACUUUGAUGAGUCCACGAUUUGGACUCAUUUAGGACUUUAUCUUAAUAGAUUUAGUGUCCUCAAAUGCAUAUUUUGUACUAAUAACUUUUGUAAAUCCCUGAAUUUCAGGUAUUUGGAUUGAGGAACAAAACAUGGACACUAUUAAGCAAAAAGGAACAAGGCGGAUCGUCGAUCCAAUCGGCGAUCCCGACUAACUGCGCCAACUGAACCUCUGCAACACACUUUUUGACAAUUAUAAAUACUUGUUUAAAUUUUUAGCUUAGUAUCUGAUCUUUUAGAGAAUCAUAAUAUUUUUUCAGUUUUUGAAGUUGAGAGUUUAGAACUGAAUAGAGAGACAAUAUUUCCUUAGCAUUGAAGAUUUGAAGAUUUCCAUUUCUAAGAAAUUGGAAGUGGGUGUUGAAGAUUCUUCAUCUUAGACCUUUUCCACACAUUCAACUCGAGAAAGAGGUUUAAAAACCAAAAUUACUUAAUCGAUGGUCUAUGGGUAUUGGGUUGUCAUGGAUUCAGCUCGAGAGAGUGAACCUUUUUUACACAUUCAGCUCGAGAGAGUGAAUGGACUAAAGCGAAUAUUGUGCUUCAUUGCUGCUUAUUGGUAGUCGAAAGAAACUAAUUUGAUUCAGGAUAAAUUGUUCGAGAGAAAGUUUACCCCCACUAAAGUCCAGUUUAUUCACUGAUUUGCAGCAGUUUACUAUUAUUUCAAUUACCCGGUUGUUUACCUUAGCCCAUAAUCCAAUCACAUCCCAAGAAUCCCGUCUCCAUAUUCAUAUUUUCGUGUUAUUUGCUGUUUUAGUUGAUAAUACGAACAAACCCCCUAUUGGUAUUUGACACUUGUGUCAUCUAAAAUUUAAAUCAUGUUUUAUUCGCAAAUGUUUUUAGCUAUGAUUGACUAGAGCAUAUUCUUUCUUUUCUAUUGAUUCUUGAGUACGAAUCACUCCCUUAGGACUCGACCCCAACUCAUUAGUUGGGUUAUAUUACUAUUGAACGAUUGUUGAUGCUUAGUAUUAAAAGUAUCUUUGAUAGCGUUACACUUUAUCAAAAUGGUGCCGCUGCUAGGGAAUGGUGUUACUUGAGAAUUUUUAGUUAAGUUGAAUUUUGUUCUUGGUAGUUAUAGUGAUACUUACUUAAUUUUUAGUUUUAAUUUGCUUGUUUGUGUGUUAAAUCAGAAAGUAUGAAUGUGAACGGCAGCAAUGGCAGCCAAGUAGGCCAUUAAGAUGACAUCAGAAACAUCAACGAGCCUCAUGCUAAUGACCCCCAUCUCAUGGGAGGUAUUGGUGCCAUUCGAUUGCCUUCGGCCGAAGAGAAUGCAGUGUUCCACAUCACAAGUAAUAUGUUGCAACUCUUGCAACUAAAUGAGAUUUUUAGUGGUUUGGCUCAUGAAGACCCUCAUGAGCAUAUUAGAAAUUUCGUGGAUGUAUGUGGACCAUUCUCCAUUAAGAAUAUCUCCCAAGAAUCGAUCUGGUUGAGGUUGUUCCCGUUCUCUUUGAUACGAGAAGCGUACAAGUGGCUGACUAAAUUGCCACGUGAAUAAAUCACUUUGUAGGAGGAGUUGGUUAUCGCAUUUCAAGUGCAAUUUUCCCCUCCCGCGAAGAUGAUAACUUUUCGAGACAAUAUUCAGAGCUUCAAGAGUCUAGAAGGCGAGCCAAUUCAUGAAACUUGGCUACGAUUCAAAAAGUUGGUGCUUCAAUGCCCAACCCAUGGCUUGUCUAAUAACGUGUUGAUGCAGUAUUUUUAUCGGAGUCUCUACUUAGUAAACAAGGGUGUUGCUGACCAACUUUCUCUAGGAGGUUUGACACAGCAACCUUAUGUGAUAGUGGCUCAGCUCUUGGAUGGCAUGACUACUAUAAACAGGGCGUGGUACACCCGUGAAGACCAGGUCUCCCUUCUAACGUUCAAGUUGACGAAGGAAUAGAUGGAAAAGGACCAAGAGAGGGACCAGAACAUGGCCAAAAUCAUGACACAAAUUGACAUUUUGUUUAAAAAGGACAUGGGAAUUGGUGCUCGAAAUGUCAAUGUCGUGGGUGUUGGGUGUGCUAAUCCAGAUGAGUCCAAGUUUGAUGCCUUGUAUGAUGAAGAAGUGAAUUUCCUAAGCAACCAAGGUGGUGGUUAUCGUUCAAACUACCCGUGGUAAGGUGGUAACCAAUAUUGAAAUAGGGAUGAAGUUUGGAAAGAUCGAGAUCGUGAAUGGAGGGACCGUAAUCCAAAUUAGAAGGAUGUGGAGAAUGAUAGGUAUGUGCUUCCCCACGAGCACCAAAACCCAAAGGAUUCGGAAGGUGGUCGGUUUAAGGAUAUGCUUUCUCGUAUCCUCAACAAAGUUGAAAGGUCGGACAAGAUCCUGAAAGAGAUGAAAAAAGACGUGUCAACCCUUGGCCAGACCGUCACCUCCCAUUCAGUGUCGAUCAAGCAAUUGGAGACCCUAAUGGGUCAUAUCUCAUCUUAUCUAACCCCGAGACAGCAAGGGGGGUUGCCUAGUGACACUAUGGUCAACCCCAAGAAUAAGGUUUGAAGGUGGACUUGCGUCGUGCCACGACGUUAACUAAGGUGUUGCUUGGGAAGCAACCCAAGUUUUUUUUUUAAGUUUGCAAUAAUGGUGUGUUGAAUAUGCAGGACAUAGUGUGGAAAGUGAGUGAAAAGUUCAAAUUAGCGAGCCAAAGGUCCAGUCAGCGUAUCACUAAAGAGGUCGACGACCCCGACCUAGACCGCCGUUGGACUCAAGAGAACUUUAAAGUGGAGUCUGUAAAACUCGGUGAGCCCAAGUAAUUAUUGGUGAAUCGCCGACCAGAUCGGUGAUCGCGAUCUAAUCUGCCGAGUGGAUCCUCACAACAACUGAAAGUACUGUAAAACUCGACGAGGUAAGUGACCACUCGACGUGUCGCUGAGUGGUUCAGCGAGCAUGACUAAUGUCACCGAAUGAGCAAAAACUGGACGAUUUUUAAAAGGCCAAAGGUUUAAACUUCCGAACUCUUUACUUUCCCUCACUUUUAAUCCUCCCAAACUCUCACCUAUAGUAUUUUCAGUAUUUUUGAAUUCUAUAAGUAUUUUAGCUGUUGAUUUGUGCUCGGGAUUGGGAAUACUUUGCCGCCUAGCAGUUCAAUAUCAAUUUAAUCGGCAUAAAAUAUUGGUUUUCUAAACCUCGAGUUUAUUUUUAUCAAUGUUGUACUAAUUUGCAAAUGAUAUUAUCUUAUUGAAGUGUGAUGGGCAUCUCUGAUAGGAUUAGAAUGUUUGAAUGCCUAUUUUAAUUUGAUAAUCUUUGCGUAAUGUUUUAAGUGUUGAAAUCCCGUAUUUUUGUGCCUUAAAAUCGGUUAAAUCUUUUGAGGUUUUGCUUGCAUGUUGUUGAGUCUAGUCGGGUGAAGUCUAAGUAAUUCGUGUUUGUGCCAAAUGACGUACUUUUCCCAAUAAUAGAGCAGGUGACGUCAUUCUUCAGGGCAAAAGUCGUCAAAUGGCCAAAUUUGGUAAAAUCGGGAGAAGUGUAAGUAUCCUGAAGUAAUAGGUGUUGUGGGUCUUGCGUUAAUUUGACUAGUGCAUGCUUUGAUUUUGUUGGGGGUUGCAGGGUUGAUUUUGAGAAGUUGGGUUGAAAGUAGGCACGUGGGUCGUUUGGUGAUCUGGGUCUAGUUCGUCGAACCACUCGGCGGUUCGCCAAAAUUUCCCAACUCGCCUUUAAUUUCUUGCUAAAUGAGUAGUUUGGCUCUGUAACUUUCGACGAGAAGCUUGAGGUCGCCAAAAACACUCGGCGACUCGCCGAAAGUCUUUUUGAUCUCUUUUUUAUCUGCACUCCUGAGCCUUUUUGCACUGUCACUUUUGGCGGGCUAGCUCUUGCUCGUUGAAAGUUGUCGGCGAUUCACCAAAAGGCCCAUCCCAUCGCCGACUUGCUAAAAUUUUUGAGCCAAUCCUUUCGACCAGCCCAACCUAGCUCGCCAAAGAGAUUCGAUGACUGGUUCGGCGAGUCUGUCUGCAACUAUUUUUCUAUGGUUUUGUUUAAAGGUUUUCUAACUUUUUCCUGAUGUUUUGUUGAUAUGGUAAAGACCAAUAUUUUCAUGCCGCCCCAGAAAACAGCACGGGAUAUCACAAUAAAUGAAGGGAGAUCAAAUCCUCCCUUAAAGGAAAGACAAGAACCUCUACCUGGAGAUAAAGGCAAGGGUAAGAGGCCUAUUUCUGAUGGGAGACUACUCCCCGAGGCCCCUAUAUUCCUUUAUGGGUUCGGGGAUUCUAUGUAGCUAUGCAGGCCUUUUUAGCGGAUACACCCUUAGCAGCUCCUAGUGGGUCUGGAAUUGCUGUUUCUUCUAAGGUGACUUCGGGUAUUGAGACCUAGGACCAGAGUGAUGCACUGGGGACUGAUGCCCAGACAGAUGGAGCGACUGUGUAGAUCAGACCCCUUUUUUACCUCCCUCUUUAUCUUACUUUAUUUCACUUUUGGCUAUUUUUGUUUGCAUUUGAGGAAAAAUAUUUUAUUUGUGGUGGGGUGAGACCCACUUUUUUGUGAUUUUGUGACUUUCUAGUUUUGUUUAUACAUUUGGGUUUCCGAGCCAUAAUUCUUAUUUUACACUAUUUUUGUGGAUGUUUGAGCUUGUGGCUCCGUGUUUUUUAAAUUGUAAAUGUUUUUUGAGCCUCCCGAAAAUUUUUGCCACAUCUUGUUUGUGUUGAAUGUGGUUGUUCUUUUACAAAUUUGAGUAUCAAUUUUGAUCAAUACCGAUGACUUGAAUAGUGCUCUCAAUCGAACAAAUAUGAAUGUGCGGCUACGAUAAGGCCAAAUAAAGUUGCAUAGGCAAUAUGUCAACUUUUUUCAUCUCGUUAUGACUAGCCAAGUAUCAAAUUGAGUCUCUUGUGAUGAACAUUGCACACUAGUGAAAGUGUGGAGUCUUGUUUGUCAUUGGUGUCAAUGUCUUGUGUGAUGAGCUUACUGUGAACCAUUCAUGAUGACACCUAGAAUUUGCCUCGUUUGUCCGGUUAACUAAGUGAUGCAAUCUCUUUAUAUGAUCUUAGGCAAUGUUGAAGAGUGUGAAACAAUUUGACAUAUACCUUUUUGUGGCUUACCUUGUGAGUGUGCGACCCUUGCUUGAACACCAUUUGAUCCUUGACCUUUUCUUGGAAGAAACUUGAUGAAAUUGUGACCUUUCUUUAUCCAUUACCCAUAAUCCUCAUGAAUUGUGGUUAGAUUGAAUAGCCAACUUAGGCCAAAAGCCUAAGUUGGGGGUGUGGUGAAAAGACAAGGUAAAUCAAGAAGUGCAAGAAAGUCUCAUUUUACCCAUACUUUGAAAAAAAUGAAACCCUUCCAUACAAAAGAAAAAUGAAUGAAAAAGAAAAAGAAAAAAAGAGUUGUGGAAUAAAGUUGUGAAAAUGCAAAUAGAAAUGGGGUAUCCAACAGUCUAUGGAAUGUGAAUAAUGGGAUGACUUGUGAGCACAAAUGAAAAAUGAUGAAGAAAGGAAAUGAAGUGUUGUUCACACCACAUUUCAAGAGGACUAUAGCCAUUGAGCCUAAAUGACCAUACCUUUGCAUUCAGCCCCGUUACAAGCCUUGAAAAGACCUUUUUGAUCUUGAGUGAGCUGAUGCUAGUGCUGAUUGGAAAAAUACGGGCAAACAUAUGGGUGAAGUCAUCCAUUGUGUUUAUCUUUGUGAGUGUGAGCGUUGCAUUUGAUUCCAGAGGCUUAAAUUGUGAACCAUUGUGAGUGGAUAUGGAAUCAUUUUUUGUGUGAGGGCAUUUGAUUACCUUUGUUGAGCUUGAACUUGCAUUUGAAGCGAGUAUUGUGAGCUUGAGAUUAUUUGAUAAUGGUGAGUCACAACUUGAAACUUUGAGUGAACAUUUGAUCCUUGCAUGAGUAAGUUGAGUCUUUUGUGUGCAUUCAUGAUUGAGUCUUGUGUAGCACUGUUUGAGACAUCCUUUUUGAACUACUAAACUUGAAUUUUACUUGAGGACAAACAAAAGUUUAAGUUGGGGUAUUGAUGAGUCCACGAUUUGGACUCAUUUAGGACUUUAUUUUAAUAGAUUUAGUGUUCUCAAAUGCAUAUUUGGUACCAAUAACUGAUGUAAAUCCCUGAAUUUCAGGUAUUUGGAUUGAGGAACAAAGUAUGGACACUAUUGAGCAAAAAGGAAUAAGACAGCUGAAAGAACGAAGGAAAGAAGGUCUGAGGAUCGCCUAACCCAGGGUCUCGCCUAAUGUUCUAGAGUGCCAAGCCGUGAAAGAGAUAAUCUAGUCGGCGAGAGAAAGAAGUAGUCGGCGUGUCACCGAAUGGUUCCGCGAUGCAGUGCCAUAUCGCCCAAAGUUACAGAACCUGAAGAUGCUGAAGGCAAAAGCAAAACGGCGAUGAAAAUUACCAAAGGGCUGAUCGCCGAUUGGAUCAGAGAUACCGACUAACUGCGCCGACUGAACCUCCGCAACACACUUUUUGACAACUAUAAAUACUUGUUUAAAUUUUUAGUGUAGUAUAUGAUCUAUUAGGGAAUCAUAAUAUUUUUCAGUUUUUGAAGUUGAGAGCUUAGAACUGAAUAGGGAGACAAUAUUUCCUUAGCUUUGAAGAUUUUCAUUUCUCAGAAAUUGGAAGUGGGUGUUGAAGAUUCUUCAUCUUAGACCUUUGUAAAGACUAUAUCAACCCUACCCAGUUGAUGAAAACGCAACUUGGUAACGAUUUUUACCUUUUUACUAUGUCUAGCUAAAACCCCAAUUCUUAGGGUGUGAUUAUGUGAUUAUGGGUUGAUUUAACUACUGGAUAUUGUUAAUUGAUAGUUUAUUUGCUGUUUAAAAGUGAUUUCGUUCAGUAAUUAUAGUUGAAUUUAAUUGGUUGUAGUUGCAAAUACAACCUUAACUUUGUGUUUUGGCUUGCUCGAGAGAGAGAGGGGUUUUAAAAUCAAAAUUACUGAAUCAAUGGUCUAUGGGUAUUGGGUUGUCAUGGGUUUAGCUCGAGAGAGUGAACCCUAAAUCCUUUUCCACACAUUCAGCUCGAGAGAGUGAAUGGACUAAAGCGAAGGUUGUGCUUCAUUGCUACUUAUUGGUGUUCGAGAGAAACCAAUUUGAUUCGGGGUAAAUUGUUCGAGAGAAAGUUUACGCCCACUAAAAUCUAGCUUAUUCACUAAUUUGUAGUUGUUUACUAUUAAUUUCAAUUACCCGGUUGUUUACCUUAGCCCAUAAUCCAAUCACAUCCCAAGAAUCUCGUCUCCAUAUUCGUAUUUUCGUGUUAUUUGUUGUUUUAGUUGAUAAUACGAACAAGGCCCCUAUUGAUAUGACACUUGUGUCACCUAAAAUUUAAACCAUGCUUUUAUUCGUAAAUGUUUUUAGCUAUGAUUGACUAGAGCAUAUUCUUACUUUUCUAUUGAUUCUUGAGUACGAACCACUCCCUUGGAACUCGACCCCAACUGACUAGUUGGGUUAUAUUACUAUUGAACGAUCGUUGAUGCUUAGUAUUGGAUGAAAUAUCUUUGAUAGAGUUACACUUUAUCAAACUUCAAUACACAAAUUUCAUGGACAAAAUUAAAUCAAGAAACUCAUGAUUGGUGUAAGGGUGAACGAACCCAUCACUUUGAAAGCUUACAUACCUCAUAAGGAUCAAAUCCUUGGCAAAAUUUCUCGAAGAUCGCAAGAAUCUUGAACGAACGCUUGAACUUCUCUUUUUCCUCCUCUUGAACUUCUCUCUGAAAUCCUAAGCGUGUUUAGGAAUUGUGAAAACUGAUCUCAAUCAGUUUAGACCCCUAUUUGGGUAACCAAAACAUUUAAAGCUAAUGGGGUAAGAAAAAGACCAAAAUACCCCUCCUUAUUUUGGAUUAAUUUCCUUAAUCGAACAAGCUAAACUAAAAUGGGCAUAUCUUCCUUAUCCGAACUCGAAAUUUAGCAAAUUGGUGGUUUUGGAAAGAGGACUUAAAAAUCUUUCAUCUGAUAUCUCUUGGGCCACCUAACUCAUCUUCUGCCGGAAGUUAUGGUCAUUUUAAGUUGACCCAAAACUCACAAUUGAAGUCUAACUUGCACCAAUCUCAAAUUAGCUCUUUCGAAUUUAGUUUUUUCUAAAAUUAGCUCUUUCUAUGACUGAGGUGUUACAGAUACUCUUCAAGAAGAAGAAGUUUCAACAACCCUUCAUACAUAUGAUAAUAUAUAUACUUUCUCCAUUUCAAUUUGUUUGUCUGAUUUAAACUUGAUAUCGAGUUUAAGAAAGUAAAUAAUAUUUUCCAAUCUUGUGGUCUUAAACUUAAGAUAGAUAGAAUGUACUAAACUGUCUUUUAAUCUUGUGGUCUCAACAUAUCACCUGGAAACAGGGCUGAGCAUAAAAUAUCAAAAACUGAAUUACCGAAUUGAAUCAAAAUUUUGAUAAUUUAGUAUCCGAUAAUUCGGUAUUUGGUAUGGUAUUUGAGAGUAAGAUUUUAAAAUUAUGAUAUUUGAGUUUGGGUUUGGUAUGCGACAUUAAUACCAUUUGCGAUUUGGUAUUUCCUGAAUAUCGAAUUAUUUAGUAAAAAUUAGGGUCCACCCCAUAUAGCUAUUAUAAGUUUAUAGCCCAUAUAUAUUGUGUAUAUAAUUAGCCCAAUAGAUUAUACUCAUAUAAUAGCAUAAAAUAUAAAAAUUAUGUACUAGGCUUAGGGCAAAAGUCUUUUGAUUCUUUGGAGUUUAUAACUUGUUAACGUAGCCUACAAAGUAAUAACUUACGGCAAAAAAUCAUUCAUCAAUCAUCAUGCUUUCAGGACUCACGUGACGCAAGAAUCAAGAUCUUGUCCAUUUUAAAUUUCAAUCUUUUACAGUUUAUGGUACCAAUCUUCAUUGUAGCCAAGGUAUGAUAACAAUUUUAUCUUAUAUUCCUAUUAGUUCUAAGCUUAUGUCUAAACUCAUCGCUAGGGGCAGUAUAUAUAGUUUUUUUCCCAUAUAUUUCCUCUUCAUUAUGUUAUUACUUCCGUCGUCAAAUCUUUAAUUCGAAAAAAAAUUAAGAUAACAUAUUGAUUUUCUCUUACAAAUUUUGCUUAGAUGGAAGAUGAGUCAAGUCAAACAAUUGGCGGGGCUACAUGUAAUAGCACACCUAUUAUUAAGUCCCUCAAUUUAAUACCGAAAAAUAAUCAAGUCACAAUGAAGAGGAAAUCCAUGAUACUCAGCAUUAUUCUAAAAUCCUCUCCAAUUUGAGCUUAACUUUUUCUAUUCAUAUUUGCUCAAAUCCUCUCCUAUUUCUUUUCAAAUUUCUCAACAUAGAGACAUCAAUUGGAUAUACAAGAGAGAUUUUUCUUUUUCUUAAUUUUCUUGUGACAAACAAGAGACUUUAUUAAAGAAAAUAAGACAAGGGAAAAUAUAUUAAUUUAAAGAUAUAUACAAAUCUCAUGUUCAAUUGUCAAUAUCAAUAUAAAAUCUGUCUAUUUAAUCUCAAUCAAACAAUUGGGCACUCACUGAUUGUACAAUACACUAAAAGAUAAUACAAUACACAACUUGAAACAAUUGAACGAACACUGCAAAAACUGAUUGUACGUUAGGCUAUGUAAAGUGUAUUAUAAACUUGAACUUAUUUUUAAUUCAUACAGGCUUCGAGUAUCAUGUGCUUCUAUUUUUCUCAUUUUCGUUUAGUUUUACUCCCACCUUGUGCCUCCAAAUAACAAGGUUAAAAGAUCCACCAUUAAAAAUAUAAAACGUUGGGCCGGUGCUAAGCAUGAACAUGUUUAUCUAGUUCUUCUAUAAAGAAUAUUAAAUAAGAGGUAUUCAACUAAUUUAUCUUCAUUUAUUUUAAUAUUUUUUACCUAAUUUGACAAAUAAAUAUAAAAUUUAAAUUAAAUUAUUGAAUUCGAUCGAACUCAUAUUCAGCACUCUAACUUUGCCACUAUUUGUAACUUUUAACAAACUAACCAUUUCCUUCAAACUACUUUAUUUCCCCCUUUUUGAAGAUUGGUAAGCCUUGUGUCACCAACUUAGAGUCUCUCUAAAGCUUCGUGCGGCACUCAACAACUAACUCACGAAUCUUUCACAGUCUUGUAAGCUCAAGUAAGUGCUUGAAACUAAGAUCGCUAAGAGAAUGACACUUGGCUACUUUUUUUACCAUGUUUUUUGCUAUUAUUAAUAUUAAAAAUAAGACAGAUAAUUUACUAUAACGACAAAUUAAAAGAUAAUAAUGAUAAAAUCUAGUUUGAAUUUUUUCGCUAUUAUAUUAUAAGUGAAUGUAAUCAACAUAUGAUCUUCAAUAUUAAAUUUAUAAUGUCAAACAGAUUAAAUUUAAAUCUUGAUAUUCUACAUUUAAAAAAAAUUAUUUUUACAUUGUUAAACUCAUUAUUUUUUUUCAUUAUUAUUAUGAUCAUUUGAUCAUGAAAUUCUAUUGUAUAGUCUCAUUUUCAAUCUGUGAUUUAUUUGAUAGGGACAUUGUACUGGCUUAUCACGUGCAAACGAUUAGGAAUAUUUAUUUAUUUUAUAUUAUAGAAUUUUAACCUAACUUUUAGGUGUAAAUUUAAAUUAAUCAAAUUUUAAAAGAAAUGGCACAAAUCCCCAUGACAAGUGUAGCAUAUUUCAAAUCACAAUGGACUAUUUUUACUAAUUGUGUUUGAACAUAUUAUUUUCGUAUCCAAUUCAAGAGUUCAUUGUUUUAAUUGUUAAUUCAAUUAUUGAAAAUAGGUGAAUGAAAUUUGAUUUUUCGUUUUUUCUUCUGUAUAAAAAAAAAUUCGCUUAUUUGGUGUUAUUUAACUUAAAAAGUCAUUAUUCUAUUCAUUUUUUUUUAAUGGAAAUAUGGUUUGUAGAGGCUGCGUUUGGACGAAAGACCUGCUGGUUUCGAUGCAACCAGAUAUGCCAUAGUGCGAAAGGGAAGAAAUCUUUAGAGUAUAGCACCUUUGAUUUAGAGGAGUUAAUUUUUUCUCCUGAGAGAGUGCAGAAAGCGGAUAGCACGCGAUAAAUUGUGUGGAUCGUUUAAUGAUAUUUACAUUUGACACUUGAUUUUUUAAUUAAAGAAUAAAAAAGUUAUUCAUUUUAAUCAAAAAUUUCAUUUCUGACUCUUUAUGAUCCAAAAUUAGGUCACGAAAUCAAGACGUGACGUGUUCAUAUUGCUAAAAAAUUAUUAUUUGUUGAUAGAAAAAAAGAAUUUCCUCAACAUAUUAACGUAUUUUAAUGAUAAGGUAUUUGUUCGAUUUUAAUUAAAAUAUGUUUGAUUUAAUGUUUUACUUAAAAAUCAGAUGUGCUUACAUCAUUAAAAAGUAAUUUAAUAUAUCACUUUUCGAUAUGAAUGACCUUUUGGGUAAAAUAACUACAAAAAAGUGACUUUUAAUUUCUUUAGAAAGAAAAACUAAUAUUUUGAGCGAAAUCGCAAAAAUAUAAAUUAUUUAUUAACUUAUUUUUAAUAAUUCAAUUUUCAAUAUUAAAAUCUUUAGUCACUCAAGUCAACCAAAAAAAAACCUUAUUUGUACUACUAAAAUUGCUCAUGCGCAAUUACAAGUGUACCCUUAGAAAUUCAAAGUAUUAUAACAUAUAAUUAAUUAGCUUGAGACUUUUCAACAUAAAGAGAAACUAAAACAAGAUCUGAAACAAUUAAGCAUCAAAAACUUCAUCUUGACUCAUUCUUGGAUAGCUUAAUCACCUGAAAUUAAUUAACAUAAUACAACAUUAGGAAUGUGUUCAUAAAUAAAAGAGUGGAUCAAAAUCUUAAACGAUAGAUAAAAAUGAUUGACGAUGACUUACUUGCACACCCUUGCAGGGGGUACUGACAUCACAAUAAGCUUCGAGAGUGAUCAAGAUUUGAUUGUCCAAAUCCUCAGCAUACUUAUAGCAAGGACAACUAGUCCUGAGUAUCUUCCUGAAUAUUGGGCAACAUGCAUCGAUUGAAGUUGUCUCGAACAUGCAUGUCUUCACUUGUUGUUGGUCACUAGCCGAGCAAGUCGUUGCCGGGGAGGGAGGUGGUGGUGAUCUUGGUGGUGAGCUCGGUGGUGGAGGUGGUGGUGAGCAUGGUCGUGGUCUAGGUCUAGGUCGUGGUCGUGGUCGUGGUCGUGGCCUUGGCCUUGGAGGAUGGCAUGGUUGUGGCCAAGGGUGUGGCCACGACAAAUGUUGACAUAGAAAGUCAAAUGGGGAUGAGCCUAGUGACUCACUUCCCUCAUCGACCAAGGCGACUUCUUUCGCCAUGGUCAGUUGGUGGUUGUUGCAAAAUAAAAUUGCAGUCACCACUAACAUCAUGAGCAUCUUCAUAAUUGCCAUUUUUUACUAAUUAAGUGUUUGUACUAUGAAGAGAUAUCAACCAUCUAUAUAUAUACAAAAAUAAUUUUAUAGAGUUAGUUGAGAUAAUUCAAUGUCAUAUAGAUCCACUUGCAUAAAAUAUUAUUUCUUCAAAAAAUGACUAAUUAAGUCCAUUCCUAAUGGAUCAUGUCUGAUAUUUUUUCAAUAAAGUACAUAUUAUUUUUAAAAUUAUUGCAUAUAUAUAUAUAUAAAAGAAAUAUUAUCCACAACAAUUUCACUAUAAUAGUUACGUUUUUUAAGAGUUGAUUUUUCAUGUUAUUCAGUAUAAUAUAUUUUUUUUAUAUUAGAAACAUUUUGUUGUAAAAAUUAAAAAUUAUCCAGACAAACAAUGUUAGAACAAGUUAUGUUUAAAAAAAAACAUUUUCUUAAUUAAUUGAAUUUUACAAAUUUAUGAAAAACAAAUUAGCCAAAGAAUUAGGUAAAUCUAACAAAAAAGUAGUAGUAAAUGACACAUUAUUUUUACAAAAGUCAAAUAUUUAAAGUUAAUUUAAUCUAUAGUUACGGAUUAUAGCCAUGGAAUGAACAUGAAAAAUAAUAAAAUUUUAUGAAUGAAAACUUAAAAUACUUCUAAGUCUGUUUUUCAAACUUUAAUUAUUAUUUUCAAGUUAAAAUUGAAAUUAUAGAAUAAAUUAACAAUAACAAUAAUUUUGUCUUAACCCCAAAUAAAUUAGGACCGAUAUCUAAAUCUACUUUUUCUUUUAAAUUUAUUUCAUAAAUAUCAUCAUUUUACAUAAUAAAAGUUUAAUAUAUAUAUAUAUAAAAUAACCAUAACUCUGAUAAUCAAAGAUUAAAAUUUCUAUAACAAUGUAUUUUCAACUAGUAGAUAUUUUCAUUGUAUCUUUCAUUAAGUUUGCAUCAAUAUAAAUACAAAUUAUAGUUAUUGAAAUAAAAUAUCCUUUCAUACAAUUUUACAUUUAGAAGUGUAAUCUCUUUCGUAUCCCGUUUAGAUUUCUAACCGACUUACUUAGUAGGUCAGGCUGAAAAAAAAGGCCAAAUUCUUUACGAAAUUGAAUUUAAGUAAAAAAUAUUUUUCUAAUUAUCAAAAUUUUAGACUUACAAAUUAACACAAUUUUAAAUCGAUAUAUCGAAUAUUAAUUUUUUAAAAUUUUUUAUAAUAAAAAUCUUGAAUCUGCCGCUAAAUAAUACUAGUGAAUAUUAUAGUAUAUGUACCCAAAUUCAAUUGGGAUUUCCAAUUAUUAUGUUCCAAAAUUUUCUCAUCCUUUCUCAAGAUUAUCAAGUCCACGUAAUUUUAUUUUUUUUUGACAAAAAUGUCAAAUUUUUAUUAAUAAAAACACAAUAUUAUAGGAUCUGAAAUUAAGCAUUAAAAAUACUUCAUCAUCCUUGGAUAGCUUAAUCGCCUGAAAUUAUUAAUUAAAAUAAUGCAAUAUUAGACAUGUAUAUUAUUCAUAAUCUUGAAUAGUAAUUUUUGCUAAUAAAUAUAAAAAUGGUAACUUAAUUACUUGCACACUAUUGCAAAGAUUAUUAACGUCACAAUAAGAUUCGAGAGUGAUUAGGACUUGAUUAUCUAAAUCCUCAGCAUACUUUUGGCAAGGGCAACUAGUGCCAAGUAUGCUAUUAAAUGUGGGGCAACAUUCAUCAAUUGAAGUUGUGUUGAACAUGCAAGUCUUCACUUUUUCUUGGUCACUAGCCAGGUAACU
rnacentral:lncRNA from 1 species